GACGAACGCUGGCGGCGUGCCUAAUACAUGCAAGUUGAGCGAUGAAGCUUGGUGCUUGCACCAAUUUGAAGAGCAGCGAACGGGUGAGUAACGCGUGGGGAAUCUGCCUUUGAGCGGGGGACAACAUUUGUAAACGAAUGCUAAUACCGCAUAAUAACUUUAAACAUAAGUUUUAAGUUUGAAAGAUGCAAUUGCAUCACUCAAAGAUGAUCCCGCGUUGUAUUAGCUAGUUGGUGAGGAAAAGGCUCACCAAGGCGAUGAUACAUAGCCGACCUGAGAGGGGGAUCGGCAAAAUUGGGACGUAAACACGGCCCAAACCCCUCAGGGAGGCAGCAGUAGGGAAUCUUCGGAAAUGAGAGAAAGUCAGAACGAGAAACGGCGCGGGAGUGAAGAAGUUUUUCGGAUAGAAAAACUCGGUUGGUAGAGAAGAACGUUGGGGAGAGGGGAAAGCUAAUAAAGGGACGGGAAAAACCAAGAAAGGGAAGGAUAACAAAGU
rnacentral:rRNA from 1 species